UCCUACGGGGGGCAGCAGUGGGGAAUAUUGCACAAUGGGCGAAAGCCUGAUGCAGCGACGCCGCGUGAAGGAUGAAGUAUUUCGGUAUGUAAACUUCUAUCAGCAGGGAAGAAAAUGACGGUACCUGACUAAGAAGCCCCGGCUAACUACGUGCCAGCAGCCGCGGUAAUACGUAGGGGGCAAGCGUUAUCCGGAUUUACUGGGUGUAAAGGGAGCGUAGACGGCGGCGCAAGUCCGGAGUGAAAGCCCACGGCCCAACCGUGGGACUGCUCUGGAAACUGUGCGGCUUGAGUGCGGGAGGGGCG
rnacentral:rRNA from 1 species